CUGGCGGCAGGCCUAACACAUGCAAGUCGAGCGGUAACAGGGGUAGCUUGCUACCCGCUGACGAGCGGCGGACGGGUGAGUAAUGCAUAGGAAUCUGCCCGAUAGUGGGGGAUAACCUGGGGAAACCCAGGCUAAUACCGCAUACGUCCUACGGGAGAAAGGGGGCUUCGGCUCCCGCUAUUGGAUGAGCCUAUGUCGGAUUAGCUAGUUGGUGAGGUAAAGGCUCACCAAGGCAACGAUCCGUAGCUGGUCUGAGAGGAUGAUCAGCCACAUCGGGACUGAGACACGGCCCGAACUCCUACGGGAGGCAGCAGUGGGGAAUAUUGGACAAUGGGGGCAACCCUGAUCCAGCCAUGCCGCGUGUGUGAAGAAGGCCCUCGGGUUGUAAAGCACUUUCAGCGAGGAAGAACGCCUAUCGGUUAAUACCCGGUAGGAAAGACAUCACUCGCAGAAGAAGCACCGGCUAACUCCGUGCCAGCAGCCGCGGUAAUACGGAGGGUGCAAGCGUUAAUCGGAAUUACUGGGCGUAAAGCGCGCGUAGGUGGCUUGAUAAGCCGGUUGUGAAAGCCCCGGGCUCAACCUGGGAACGGCAUCCGGAACUGUCAGGCUAGAGUGCAGGAGAGGAAGGUAGAAUUCCCGGUGUAGCGGUGAAAUGCGUAGAGAUCGGGAGGAAUACCAGUGGCGAAGGCGGCCUUCUGGACUGACACUGACACUGAGGUGCGAAAGCGUGGGUAGCAAACAGGAUUAGAUACCCUGGUAGUCCACGCCGUAAACGAUGUCGACCAGCCGUUGGGUGCCUAGAGCACUUUGUGGCGAAGUUAACGCGAUAAGUCGACCG
rnacentral:rRNA from 1 species